GACGAACGCUGGCGGCGUGCUUAACAUAUGCAAGUCGAACGGAAAGGCCCUGCUUUUGUGGGGUGCUCGAGUGGCGAACGGGUGAGUAACACGUGAGUAACCUGCCCUUGACUUUGGGAUAACUUCAGGAAACUGGGGCUAAUACCGGAUAGGAGCUCCUGCUGCAUGGUGGGGGUUGGAAAGUUUCGGCGGUUGGGGAUGGACUCGCGGCUUAUCAGCUUGUUGGUGGGGUAGUGGCUUACCAAGGCUUUGACGGGUAGCCGGCCUGAGAGGGUGACCGGCCACAUUGGGACUGAGAUACGGCCCAGACUCCUACGGGAGGCAGCAGUGGGGAAUAUUGCACAAUGAGCGGAAGCCUGAUGCAGCAACGCCGCGUGCGGGAUGACGGCCUUCGGGUUGUAAACCGCUUUCGCCUGUGACGAAGCGUGAGUGACGGUAAUGGGUAAAGAAGCACCGGCUAACUACGU
rnacentral:rRNA from 1 species